rnacentral:rRNA from 1 species
CAUGCCGUAAACGAUGAGUGCUAAGUGUUAGGGGGUUUCCGCCCCUUAGUGCUGCAGCUAACGCAUUAAGCACUCCGCCUGGGGAGUACGACCGCAAGGUUGAAACUCAAAGGAAUUGACGGGGGCCCGCACAAGCGGUGGAGCAUGUGGUUUAAUUCGAAGCAACGCGAAGAACCUUACCUGGACUUGACAUCCCCUGCAUAUCUCAGAGAUGAGAGAAGCCCUUCGGGGCAGGGAGACAGGUGG